rfam:Azotobacter vinelandii DJ, complete genome.
CGCCUUAUGCCUGAAAGAGCGACGGUGAAUAGCCGGAGCGAAGAGUCAGCAGAGGCCGUAGUAGCCGUGAGGCGAAGGGC